AACUCUUAGCGGUGGAUCACUCGGCUCGUGCGUCAAUGAAGAACGCAGCUAGCUGUAAGAAUUAAUGUGAACUGCAGGACACCCUCCCUCUGUGCCUGGCCUGUGUGGAGUUCAAGCAAAGGUAGCCUUGGCCACUUUGUCC
rnacentral:rRNA from 1 species